AAUCAACGCUGGCGGCGCGCUUAACACAUGCAAGUCGAGCGAGAAAGGGAGCAAUCCUGAGUACAGCGGCGCACGGGUGAGUAACACGUGAAUCAUCUACCUUCGAGUGGGGAAUAACUGAGAGAAAUCUUAGCUAAUACCGCAUAAUACCUACGGGUCAAAGCAGCAAUGCGCUUGAAGAGGAGUUCGCGGCAGAUUAGUUAGUUGGCAGGGUAAGGCCUACCAAGACGAUGAUCUGUAUCCGGCCUGAGAGGGCGCACGGACACACUGGAACUGAAACACGGUCCAGACUCCUACGGGAGGCAGCAGUGGGGAAUUUUGCGCAAUGGGGGAAACCCUGACGCAGCAACGCCGCGUGGGGAUGAAACUCCCUUGGGAUGUAAACUCCUUCGAUCGGGAAGAUAAUGACGGUACCGAGAGAAG
rnacentral:rRNA from 1 species